rnacentral:rRNA from 1 species
UACAGAGGGGGCAAGCGUUGUUCGGAAUUACUGGGCGUAAAGGGCGCGUAGGCGGCCUGUUAAGUCGAACGUGAAAUCCCCGGGCUCAACCCGGGAACUGCGUCCGAUACUGGCUGGCUUGAAUCCGGGAGAGGGAUGCGGAAUUCCGGGUGUAGCGGUGAAAUGCGUAGAUAUCCGGAGGAACACCGGUGGCGAAGGCGGCUUCCUGGACCGACACUGACGCUGAGGCGCGAAAGCUAGGGGAGCAAACGGG